rnacentral:rRNA from 1 species
GUUGAACGCUGGCGGCAUGCCUUACACAUGCAAGUCGAACGGCAGCGGGGGCUUCGGUCCGCCGGCGAGUGGCGAACGGGUGAGUAAUGUAUCGGAACGUACCAUUCAGUGGGGGAUAACUAUCCGAAAGGAUAGCUAAUACCGCAUAUUCUGUGAGCAGGAAAGCAGGGGAUCGCAAGACCUUGCGCUGAUUGAGCGGCCGAUAUCAGAUUAGCUAGUUGGUGAGGUAACGGCUCACCAAGGCUACGAUCUGUAGCGGGUCUGAGAGGAUGAGCCGCCACACUGGGACUGAGACACGGCCCAGACUCCUACGGGAGGCAGCAGUGGGGAAUUUUGGACAAUGGGCGCAAGCCUGAUCCAGCCAUGCCGCGUGAGUGAAGAAGGCCUUCGGGUUGUAAAGCUCUUUCGGCCGGGAAGAAAUCGCAUCAGCUAAUACCUGGUGUGGAUGACGGUACCGGAAUAAGAAGCACCGGCUAACUACGUGCCAGCCGCCGCCGUAA